UACAGAGGUCUCAAGCGUUGUUCGGAUUCAUUGGGCGUAAAGGGUGCGUAGGCGGCGCGGUAAGUCGGGUGUGAAAUUUCGGAGCUUAACUCCGAAACUGCAUUCGAUACUGCCGUGCUUGAGGACUGGAGAGGAGACUGGAAUUUACGGUGUAGCGGUGAAAUGCGUAGAUAUCGUAAGGAAGACCAGUGGCGAAGGCGGGUCUCUGGGCCGAUACUGACGCUGAGGAGCGAAAAGCGUGGGGAGCGAACAGGA
rnacentral:rRNA from 1 species